CCUACGGGAGGCAGCAGUGGGGAAUAUUGCACAAUGGGGGAAACCCUGAUGCAGCGACGCCGCGUGAGUGAAGAAGUAAUUCGUUAUGUAAAGCUCUAUCAGCAGGGAAGAAAAUGACGGUACCUGAGUAAGAAGCCCCGGCUAACUACGUGCCAGCAGCCGCGGUAAGACGUAGGGGGCAAGCGUUAUCCGGAUUUACUGGGUGUAAAGGGAGCGUAGACGGCAGUGCAAGUCUGGAGUGAAAGGCGGGGGCUCAACCCCCGGACUGCUCUGGAAACGGUACGGCUGGAGUGCAGGAGAGGUAAGUGGAAUUCCUGGUGUAGCGGUGAAAUGCGUAGAUAUUAGGAGGAACACCAGUGGCGAAGGCGGCUUACUGGACUGUAACUGACGUUGAGGCUCGAAAGCGUGGGGAGCAAACAGGAUUAGAUACCCGAGUAGUC
rnacentral:rRNA from 1 species